UUAAAGACCAUCCUCCAUAAUAUCUCCUCCUGAAUUACAUAGUUCGUGUUGGUCCCUCGAGCAACAGAUAUCAUAGCUACUUUUGCUCAGAAGACAUGACUCAAAUGAGACAUGCAUUCGCUCUCCUGCUCUUCAGCCUCCUCUUGCUAUCUCAAUCCCUUCCAGGUUCAGCUGUCGGCAGGCAAUUGGAUAAAGCUCUUACCAAGUCCCAGCUGCCUGCUCUUACCAAGUCCCAGCUGCCUGAGGGAAGACAAAAUGACGUGAUCAGUUCAUUGCAGGCUCGGAAGUUAGGAGUUUACAUCAGAAAAAAGGCUCGUGUUUAUCCACGCUCUGGUCGCAAAUCAUCUGCUAUCCGAACCCAAGUUCCUUCCAGCCAUGUGAUUGGUUCUGUUUUUGCCUUCCUCAGUUUCUUCCUGCUCUAGAUCUUGGU
rnacentral:lncRNA from 1 species